rnacentral:tRNA from 1 species
GCGCUCUUAGCUCAGUGGAUAGAGUAUUCGGCUCCGAACCGAAGGGUCGGGGGUUCAACUCCCCCAGUGCGCA